rnacentral:rRNA from 1 species
GAAAACCACGGUGGUACAGGAUGGGCCCGCGUCUGAUUAGUUAGUUGGCAGGGUAACGGCCUACCAAGACGAUGAUCAGUAGCCGGCUUGAGAGAGUGGACGGCCACAUUGGGACUGAGACACGGCCCAGACUCCUGCGGGAGGCAGCAGUGGGGAAUAUUGCACAAUGGGGGGAACCCUGAUGCAGCAAUGCCGCGUGGGUGAAGAAGCACUCCGGUGCGUAAAGCCCUGUCAGCAGGGAAGAAAAUGACAGUACCUGACCAAGAAGCCCCGGCUAACUACGUGCCAGCAGCCGCGGUAAUACGUAGGGGGCAAGCGUUAUCCGGAUUUACUGGGUGUAAAGGGAGCGCAGGCGGUAUGGCAAGUCAGAUGUGAAAACCCAGGGCUCAACCCUGGGACUGCAUUUGAAACUGCCAUACUGGAGUGCCGGAGAGGUAAGUGGAAUUCCUAGUGUAGCGGUGAAAUGCGUAGAUAUUAGGAGGAACACCAGUGGCGAAGGCGGCUUACUGGACGGUAACUGACGCUGAGGCUCGAAAGCGUGGGGAGCAAACAGGAUUAGAUACCCUGGUAGUCCACGCUGUAAACGAUGAAUACUAGGUGUCGGGGUACAUAAGUACCUCGGUGCC